CCUCCGUUCUCUGCAGUGAGGAAUAUUGGUCAAUGGGAGAGAUCCUGAACCAGCCAAGCCGCGUGAGGGAAGACGGCCCUAUGGGUUGUAAACCUCUUUUGUCGGAGAACAAAACCCGGGACGUGUCCCGGACUGCGUGUAUCCGAGGAAAAAGCAUCGGCGAACUCCGUGCCAGCAGCGGCGGUAAUACGGAGGAUGCGAGCGUUAUCCGGAUUUAUUGGGUUUAAAGGGUGCGUAGGCGGUCCGUUAAGUCAGCGGUAAAAUUGCGGGGCUCAACCCCGUCGAGCCGUUGAAACUGGCAGACUUGAGUUGGCGAGAAGUACGCGGAAUGCGCGGUGUAGCGGUGAAAUGCAUAGAUAUCGCGCAGAACUCCGAUUGCGAAGGCAGCAUACCGGCGCCAGACUGACGCUGAGGCACGAAAGCGUGGGGAUCGAACAGGAUUAGAUACCCGUGUAGUC
rnacentral:rRNA from 1 species